rnacentral:rRNA from 1 species
UGCAGUCGAGGGGCAGCAUAAUGGAUAGCAAUAUCUAUGGUGGCGACCGGCGCACGGGUGCGUAGCGCGUAUGCAACCUACCUUUAACAGGGGGAUAACACUGAGAAAUUGGUACUAAUACCCCAUAAUAUCAUAGAAGGCAUCUUUUAUGGUUGAAAAUUCCGAUGGUUAGAGAUGGGCAUGCGUUGUAUUAGCUAGUUGGUGGGGUAACGGCUCACCAAGGCGACGAUACAUAGGGGGACUGAGAGGUUAACCCCCCACACUGGUACUGAGACACGGACCAGACUCCUACGGGAGGCAGCAGUGAGGAAUAUUGGUCAAUGGACGCAAGUCUGAACCAGCCAUGCCGCGUGCAGGAUGACGGCUCUAUGAGUUGUAAACUGCUUUUGUACGAGGGUAAACGCAGAUACGUGUAUCUGUCUGAAAGUAUCGUACGAAUAAGGAUCGGCUAACUCCGUGCCAGCAGCCGCGGUAAUACGGAGGAUUCAAGCGUUAUCCGGAUUUAUUGGGUUUAAAGGGUGCGUAGGCGGUUUGAUAAGUUAGAGGUGAAAUUUCGGGGCUCAACCCUGAACGUGCCUCUAUACUGUUGAGCUAGAGAGUAGUUGCGGUAGGCGGAAUGUAUGGUGUAGCGGUGAAAUGCUUAGAGAUCAUACAGAACACCGAUUGCGAAAGGCAGCUUACCAAACUAUAUCUGA